rnacentral:rRNA from 1 species
GACGAACGCUGGCGGCGUGCUUAACACAUGCAAGUCGAACGGAGUGGCGAACGGGUGAGUAACGCGUAAUCAACCUGCCCUUCAGAGGGGGACAACAGUUGGAAACGACUGCUAAUACCGCAUACUGAAGGAGGGGAUUGCGUCUUAUUAGCUAGUUGGAGGGGUAACGGCCCACAAAGGCGAUGAUCAGUAGCCGGUCUGAGAGGAGGAACGGCCACAGUGGGACUGAGAAACGGCCCAGACUCCUACGGGAGGCAGCAGGGGGGAAUCUUCCGAAAUGGACGAAAGUCUGACGGAGCAACGCCGCGUGAGUGAUGAAGGCCUUCGGGUUGUAAAGCUCUGUUAAUCGGGACGCGGUACCGGAAUAGAAAGCCACGGCUAACUACGUGCCAGCAGCCGCGGUAAUUC